UUGUUCGAAAAGUAAUAAAACUGAUUUUCUUCCGCCGCGACUGUACUUCGGAUCAUGCGCGCACCGACUGGAUUCGUUAGAGGGCGUUCCUAGCUAACAAACGAGCAGCUGGUCAGUUGUCUCCAAGCACCUGGAGAAUCAAGAUAAACAUUUUCGCGCGAUGUGUUUGUGAAACGCGGUAAAUCUGUGACAGCGACGUUUGAUAUGAUCAAGCAAGAAAUGGUGUGUUUCGGUGGUACCAGGCCUUUUUGAGGCCCGGGUCGCUGUUGGAGGCCACGAAACGAGACCUGCGACUUCGACAAACCCCGACAAUGUGACUCGCGUGCUGGCAGCGCUGCAUCGAUGCAGUAGGCAAAUCCUGGAUUAUAUAUCAUUAUAUAUAAAUGAUCAGGAUGACGAGAAAAUUUGAAAUCCGGUUGACUGUCUGCCUGUCUGCAAGCUGUAACUUCAGUAAAAAUUGAGAUAUCUUGAUGAAACUUGGAACGUAGAUUCCUUAAAACAAAAAAAAAUCUAAUUCGUAGACGGGCGUAAUCGGACCACUGAUCGAAAACUUGGCCUAGCCACUACAUAACUAAUAUCUGGAUUUUCGAACAUCCGGCUGACUUCACUCUUACUUCUUUUACACCUUAAAGUGUUUCCCUGUCUUUGAUUCUUGCAAGUUGCCAGAGUAUAAAAUGUUCGGUCGCAUCCGAACUUAGUGCGUGCUUACUUUUUUAUAUUGGAAAACGUGGAGGAUAAACCGCGGAGAAUGUAUUAAUUGAACAGAUCACAGAUGGAGCUGAAUGCAACAUCUAUUUCAAGUUCUCUAUCAAGCCGCGUCGUUUCAAAUGUAUCACUUUUAGUUCCGGAUCUGAUUGGAUUUAUUAAUAAUUUCCCCACUUUUCUCUCCUCUGAAUUCGCCAUUUAUUAAUAUUAUGACCCAUUUAUGCCACAUAUCGUGGUACGAUUACUUUUAUCGAUUUAUAUGACAGGUAUUAUGUAUAAUCAACACAACGCCGAAGACACUGGCUCCAAACGUUCUUCGGCUAGCAACGGGCCACGCCUCGGCCUACCCAACGCUCUGAACUGCACUAACACGCGCAUCUCUUUGUGCCACGGGCCACCACCAACGUUAUCACCUCAUCCCACGGAAGUAGGUCGCAGAAGAGGCAUCGCCCACACCGUUCGCAACAUUGAAGCAUUUUUUUUGGGUAUGCGAUGACAGCAAAUUGCCCAAGCACCUUGGCAUUGCUUGAAUAUUCUGGCGUAUACGCAUCCGACUCACGAGUGACUACGAGUCUCAAUACAGCAUUAUCGCGAUCACGUCACAUAUGAGGUCACCACACGUAAAGGGACCCAUUAUCUUCUUUUUCCCGAUACGACAACGAGUACGGACGCAUGGUUACGUCUUCGCGUAACCGGAAGUUCGAAAAUUUGUAUAUUAGGUAUAUGGGGGCUAAGGGCAAUAUUGGCCCGUUUCAACUCAUUUCUGACAUACAGAUAUACCAUUAAAAGAGAAGGAUUAUCCUCUAAUUCUAGUAAUACUAUAUAAUGGGUUGUCAAAAAAGUCUAGCGGUAUUUUUAUUGAAUUUUUUUAUUUUUAUUUAAAUUGAAAUGAAUUUUUGAUGACUCAUGCCCAGCUCUGACCGAUGCUACGGCUGCUACUAUGCCGGUCUCUUUCGACCAAUUCAGCGAUUUUAUCGCAAUUUUCGACGACAGGCUUUCCGGAGCGUGGCGCAUCUUCAACCACCUCUACACCAGAACGAAAACUUUGAAACCAUCAUUGUACUGUAAAAUAUGCCGUAUUUUCUCUUUAUUUUACUUAAAAGAAACGACAAUCAAUUUAGUUAGCGCGUGAAAUGAGCUUUCCAAAAAGGUAUAGCAUGACCCGAUGCGACGAAUAGAACUACGCGCUUUCAGCGCCAACUAUCGAAAAUACCGCAAGACUUUUUUGACAACCUAUUAAAUAUAAUAAAUUGGAAAAAGGAAAUGAUAAAUUGUAAAAUUAAUAAUAAGAAUACUUGUUUAUCAGAUAUUUUGCCUAGAAAAAAAGGUAAAUGUAAAAAAUUAAAGAAAAAAAACAGAGAAAUAGAUGUAAAUAAAGAAGGAGCAAUAUUAGUCUCUGGAAAUAACACAAAAAGAUGGCUAUGCAAUAAAUGGAGUUUAUCUUGUUACUUUUGAAAAUUAUACAAAAAUGAACAAAUAUAACAUUGAAAAUGUCGAUUGUAAAAUCUGGAAAUAUUGGAAAUUUUGAAAUUGGAGAACAUAUUGAAACAAAGAAUUAAAACUUGAAAAUAUAAAUAUUUUGGGUGAACGAAUAAAAAAUAUUAAAUAGGAUUCGUUUUUCUGGUACACAAUCAUACUAUUAGUAAUAAUUUGCAUAAUUUAUAGGAUUUGAAAAUUUAAACAUUUACAAACAACUCCCAUGCAAAUUGAAAUUCAAGAUAUCAAGACAAAACAUGAUAUUGAAUCUUAAAACAUGAUUUGAAAUAAUCUAAGGGAAGGGGGAGUUAAAGGCAGCAUCCCCACUUAAACUCACAUGUAACUGUCAACAAAAUUAUAUCUUUUAAAUCCCCAUCGCGUUUGUGCAUACUUUGCAUUUAUGCAGCAACUCAAUUGAAAUUCACCCUAAACCAAUAUUUACAUAAUAAAUUAAUAAGAAAUCAAUAUCUUUGUGUUUUGUUUAGAUAAUAAAUCUUUUGUUCGCAUAAACAAUAAAAAAAAUAAGGAGUAGAUUUAAGGCUAAGAAUUAAAAAAUGUAUAAAUAUAAGUUCAUAAAGAAAUAAAGAAGAGAUUGAGAUUGAAUCAGAUCUUGAUGUCUGAGGUAA